UCGCGAAAACUUCACAAUGGGGGAAACCCCGAUGAGGGAAUUCCAAGUGCCAGCACAUUGUGUUGGCUGUUCUCUGGUCUAAAAAACCGGAGAAGUAAGGGCCGGGUAAGACGGGUGCCAGCCGCCGCGGUAAUACCCGCGGCCCAAGUGGUGGUCGAUAUUAUUGAGCCUAAAACGUCCGUAGCCGGUUUUGUAAAUCCUUGGGUAAAUCGACCAGCUUAACUGUUCGAAGUCCGGGGAGACUGCAAGACUUGGGAUCGGGAGAGGUGAGAGGUACUUCUGGGGUAGGGGUAAAAUCCUGUAAUCCUAGAAGGACCACCGGUGGCGAAGGCGUCUCACUAGAACGAAUCCGACGGUGAGGGACGAAGCCCUGGGGCGCAAACGGG
rnacentral:rRNA from 2 species